rnacentral:rRNA from 1 species
AUUGAACGCUGGCGGCAGGCCUAACACAUGCAAGUCGAACGAGUGGCGGACGGGUGAGUAAUGUCUGGGAAACUGCCUGAUGGAGGGGGAUAACUACUGGAAACGGUAGCUAAUACCGCAUACCAUCAGAUGUGCCCAGAUGGGAUUAGCUAGUUGGUGGGGUAACGGCUCACCAAGGCGACGAUCCCUAGCUGGUCUGAGAGGAUGACCAGCCACACUGGGACGGAGACACGGUCCAGACGCCUACGGGAGGAAGCAGAGGGGAAUAUUGCACAAUGGGCGCGAGCCUGAUGCAGCCAUGCCGCGUGGAUGAAGAAGGCCUUCGGGUUGUAAAGAACUGUCAGCGGGGAGGCGGUACCCGCAGAAGAAGCACCGGCUAACUCCGUGCCAGCAGCCGCGGUAAUUC